GGGGAAUUUUGGACAAUGGGCGAAAGCCUGAUUCAGCCAUGCCGCGUGAGUGAAGAAGGCCUUCGGGUUGUAAAGCUCUUUCAGACGGAAAGAAAUAGCCUCGGUGAAUAUCCGAGGUUGAUGACGGUACCGUAAGAAGAAGCACCGGCUAACUACGUGCCAGCAGCCGCGGUAAUACGUAGGGUGCGAGCGUUAAUCGGAAUUACUGGGCGUAAAGCGUGCGCAGGCGGUUACAUAAGACAGAUGUGAAAUCCCCGGGCUUAACCUGGGAACUGCGUUUGUGACUGUGUGACUAGAGUACGGUAGAGGGGGGUGGAAUUCCUGGUGUAGCAGUGAAAUGCGUAGAUAUCAGGAGGAACAUCGAUGGCGAAGGCAGCCCCCUGGACCUGUACUGACGCUCAUGCACGAAAGCGUGGGGAGCAAAC
rnacentral:rRNA from 1 species